CCGGACUGUUGCCAGGAAACCAAUGACGCCACUUGGAUAUCAAGGAUACUAUGCCCUCCUCUGGCGACGAAGUGCUACAGUUUGCAUUCAGGUUCAAAAAUAAGAAACCUGAAGAAUUUUGAGGGUGUGUGUGGAAUGUCAAAGUUACACCUCACCAAUAACCGCCCCUGCUGCACCCAGAAGCUGAAUGAAAGGUUUGAUUUCUUUGUCAGGAUGGCUUUCAUUACAUUACACCCCCUAUGUUUACAACAAAGCAACAGGACAGGGCACAUUUCUAUGAAGCCAGACACAUUUAUACCCAUGUCUGCUCACUUUGCAACUCCGGAGUCAAAUUAAUCAACAUACACUUGGGAGCACAUUUGGUGCUUGGUCAUAGUGGGUCAUUAUUCUUUCUUGCUACUAAAGGGAGGGGGGACAGGAGCACAGUACCUUUCAGUCUUAAUCAGAGUCAGACGAAGAGCCUGAGGAAGACCCACUCCCACCAUCCUUGUGUUUAUGUUUCUUCCCUUUUCCCUUCUUGUGGCCCUUGCCAUGCUUGUGGCCCUCGCCGUGCUUGUGUCCCUCGCCGUGCUUGUGGCCCUCGCCGUGCUUGUGGCCCUCGCCGUGCUUGUGGCCCUUGCCAUGCUUGUGGUCCUUGUCCUUAUCGUGGUCCUUGUCUUUAUCAUGGUCCUUGUCUU